CGGGAACCCUGAAUGGAAUGCAGAGGAUUAAAUUCCAAGCCCUUCCCUGUCGGCUGGGCCCCGAGGGACGGGACGGGAGCCAGCAGCUUUCUGCCUGCCUCAGCGGUCAUCAGGGCUCUCAGUGAAGGACCUGAGCCUUCAGUGACUUGCCCCAGGUCAGAGAGCUGGUAAGUGACCGGGCGAGCUGGGCCAUUCCUCUCCCAUCAGAGCUGGCCCAGGCUGGAUUCCUAUUUGAACUUGCACAUGCCCUUGACCUCUCUGGGUCUCGUAUGGAGAUAAAGGGCAGCUAAUAACAUCCGCUUUAUUUCCUUUGCACGAUUGUCUUGAGGAAAGUACUGUGCGAACAGAAAUUCCACCUGGAAUGGGAGGAAUUUAAUCUUCACACAGGAAGGGAUCUUGAAAAGCCGAUUUUUUCCAUUAUUAUGCAAAGGACGCGGGUUGCACAGAACGAAGGAAUUCUUGAUGCCAAGACUUAAAGUACCUACUGCUGAUUUGGCAAGAUACCGGGCAGCCUCCAUGAACAAGCCUUCGUUCAGUCUUCGCAAGAACAGGACGAGAGCGGUACCCGUACGGCCAGUAUUCUCAGAGCCGAGGACCUGGAGGCCUGGAGCGAUUAGUGGCUUGACCAAGGUCACACUACUGAGAAACGUGGCACCAAAUCCCGGAUUCCCUCUCCUUCGCCUUCUGACAAGAAUAGGGAAAUGGUAAAACAAACAGGGUAUACCUCCUGGGAUAGUAUUUUACAAUUAAAAAUUAUUAUGAGCUCUAUGUAGUAACAUGGUAAAUGCUCGUUAUAUAGUGUUUAGUGAAAAAUGCAAUACCCAAAGGUGUAAAAUAUGCAGAAGAAAAAUGAAGUAGAAUGCUUAAACACUAACAGUAGCUGAGUAGCAUGGUAAGCUUAUUUUUCCCCCUUUUAAUUUCAUGUAAUGUGGUAUAGGUCUUUUGUAAUGAAAGAAUGAAUAUAAUCUUUUUUCUUAAAGGACUAGUACUAUACGCUCAGAAUCGAUAAGGAAAAGGCUAAAAUGAAUAGUAAUAUAUUUUCCUUUCCUUGGCAAUAAAAGCUAAUAAGUAAUUGAUUUGCA
rnacentral:lncRNA from 1 species